rnacentral:tRNA from 1 species
GGUUGUGGCUCAGUGGUAGAGCACUUGCCUAGCAUGUGUGAAGCACUGGGUUUGAUCCUCAGCACCA